rnacentral:lncRNA from 1 species
GGGAGAUGUAACGGUGAGAAAAACUAGGUGUGGUCCAGGCCCUCCAGGGGCUCAGGGGCUCGUGGAAGAAGUGGACAUUGAAGUACUUAUCACACAAAUGAGGAUAAAAGUACGAUAGCGAUAUCUACCACGAAGCUGUUGUUCCACACCAGAAGCAAAUGAGCGCAAGAUCUGACAAAGAAAAAGAAAGGUUCAUCUUUUAUUUCUCCAAACACUUUCAUUUAAAUCAAGAGGAUGGGAUGUGGUUAUUGCUGUGUUUUUAGACAGAAUCAACGGUUUCUGGCUCUGAGAUGUUGCAUACACCCUCUCAGUCCCUGUAUCCUGAGAUGGAGUCACCUGAGGAUCCACAGCAAGUCCUAACCAGGGAUGGGUCUGGGUGAUUAAGGAAGGUUGGCUUCAGAACUGGGCCAGGGGCACUGCUUUGCUUUUGCUGUUUUGAUCAGCCCUCUGCCUGCAGGAGACAAGGAAAACCAAUGAGAACAGAUAGGGUCUCUUUCUCUGCCACCCAGGCCAGAGUGCAGUUGACGCAGGGCAGGGGAGCCCCGAAUUGGAGCAUAGUGUGUCCGGAACUGGUGGGUUCUUGGUCUCACUGACUUCAAGAAAGAAGCCGCGGACCCU